UACGUAGGGGGCAAGCGUUGUCCGGAAUCACUGGGCGUAAAGCGCGUGUAGGCGGCCUGCUAAGUCUGAUGUGAAAGCCCGAGGCUCACCCUCGGAAGUGCAUUGGAAACUGGCAGACUGGAGUCCCGGAGAGGAGGGUGGAAUUCCUGGUGUAGCGGUGAAAUGCGUAGAUAUCAGGAGGAACACCGGUGGCGAAGGCGGCCCUCUGGACGGUGACUGACGCUGAGACGCGAAAGCGUGGGGAGCAAACAGG
rnacentral:rRNA from 1 species